AAUGGGAUAACUGGGUCAAAUGGUGGUUCUUUUCCAGGUUCUCUGAGGAAUGUUCAUACUGCUUUCCAGAGUGGUUGCACAAAUUUGCCAUCCCACCAGCAAU
rnacentral:pre_miRNA from 1 species